GCCAAGGAGGGGUUUGAAGGCACACACGGGACGCUGUUCUCCGGCACAGGGUACAGGGGACCCCUCUGGCCCCUCUGGAGAUUAUAUGUAGAAUACCAAGACUGAAGAAGCAAGCAUGGACGUGGAGGAGAGAGGACGGCUUUGGGCCUAACAUGGUAACAUGGAGGGGACAGAGCGAACUGAGUGGCUUUGUGGAAGUAUUUUGAAGGCAGAGCUGACCAUACUUGCUGCUGUGUUGUUCUUAGUUGGUAUUGGUGCCGUACAUGUGUCAUUCAUUUCUCACGCUAAGAGUGCUGGAUAGGAACUACAUUUCUGACAUCACAGGUGAUGAGAGAGUUGUUUGGGUGGAUUACCUGCCCACCUUCACGCUGCCACAAAAGAGCAGAAUCGAUAUUCAAGUUCAAAGAAGAGUGCGUUUCCAUAAUAUCGUCACACUGAGUAGCAAUUCACCUUUAAAAUGCUUCUAUCCUGCUCUGACACGGUUGUAAAACAAAAAUCUAACCGGACCAACUGUUCUUCAGAGCCUAUCGACAGUCGGCCGAAAGCACUGAUUCACUGGAUAGAACCCAGGUUCCACUUCAGAAGCUCAGCUCGCAAGAAACUCACAGCCCUGCACUGCCUUUGUUUUUGAGUCGCUGCCAAAAUCUGUUGCUUACUCCCUUAUUGGCACAACUGAACUCCUGUGUAAGAACUCAGCCCUCAGUAGAACAUUAAAUAUUUGAAUAUACAAGCAUUUCCUCUCAAGAAAAUCUCUUCUAUCACUGCACCACAGUGCUUUGUAAAAUAGAAUCUAAAACAUUUCUGAGCUUGAGUUGGAUGUAUUUUCUACAGGUAGUAUGGAGAUAUAUAUCAGUAUUCUUAUUGACAUACCUUUUAAGGUUACAAAAGUCAUACCUGAUAUCUGCACUUAGGCUGAUUUUUAACUGCUAAUGAUAGUUACUGUCUUUCUGACUCGUUAGAAGUUGGGUCCUCCUAGUGCCUCCGAUAGAAACAGGAAGGAUGGAAAGCUUGUCUGGUGGGGCACCUUGUUCUGAGGAACUAGGGAUCACAUCAGAUCCAUACAGCCUGAGCCCCGACAACCCUGUGCGAAGAUACUUCAGAGGAGCAGGUCGACAGUGCCCUUCUGAAGCAAUCACAGAAAGAAACCUCAUCUACAGGCCGACCAACAAUCUUGUACCAGUAACACCUGAUUAAAUUAUCUUUGGCAAAAAUAAAAAUAAUAAUAAAGGAGGAAUAUUUCAAAACAAAACCUCAGCAAAAAUACCUUUUGUUGAAUUUCAAGGUUUGCAACAGCAGCCUUAUAAAAAGCUUCCAUUAAUUCAAUUUUAGGUUGGCAUGAAAAUGAUAGUGUGUUUUGGAGGGUAAUUCUCCUAAAAACAACACAAUGCAACUGAAAUGGCACACUCCUCAUUACCUGCAUUCUGAGUAAUAAGAUGUUAACCUAAAGGAGAGACUGCUGAGAUGUCUCCUAUACCUAAAUUGCACUGUGUGGGUGACUCCCUUUGACACAGGUAAAUUCCUGUGUGGGCUGAAAUAGCUCUGUGAAAAUGCCCUCUGAUGCUUACUUUAAAAGACUUUGCAAGCCACAGCUGGCUCUCCUUUCAUUAUCCCUAUAAACUUACGAAAAAUACAGCACAAAGGAACGUUAUAAUGAUGUGCAGUUCUUUGUGGAAAAUAUUCAGUAGAAGAAACUGUAGAUGAAAGAAACAAAGUUGUAGCUAUUAUUAGGAAAUUGUAACUUGGUUUCAUAAAUUUCUACAUAAGUCUAGAGUAGAAGGAAAGCAAUUAAACGUAAAAGUCAAGUCAAUCAGAAGCACAGACAAAAAUUUUAUGUAAAGUUAUAUUCAGAGGAGUGGUGGUAAUAAUAUAAAUUUAGGAAUCACCUUCAUGUUUGGGGGUAAGAAAAUAGAUACACAAAUGUAUUCACUCAUAAUCCCUUAAAAUAAUGUUUCACAGACUAUGCUCUAAGGAAAUACUCUUGUCACUAAGUUGCAUGGUACAACACAGGGCAAUGAAGGUGGGACUCUUGCCAUAGGCCAAGCACUUUGUCAUGAACCUUAGUGCAUGUAGUAUAACCAAGCAUUUACUGCAAAUCUCAUGGGCUCGAGAAGAGCAAUCCUAGCGUCUAGGGAACUGAAGAAAUUAAGGGUUUGUAAAAGUGUGUUUUGGUGAUCAUGACACAUAUAAGCAGUGAGUCACUGAGCUUUUUAAUUAUGAGUUCCUACACUGUACUUUUACAUAUUGGAUCCGUGUUUUGGGUAAUCACAGAGGACUGGAAGGAUAAUGUAACAUAUGCUUUAAUUUUACCCUUUGGCUCCUCCAGCUCACCUGCUUCAGAAUUUUGUAAGCUUCAAUCUCUCUGUCACUUUAUUAUGCUGACUACUUGUAUUUGUGAAUGGGAAUGUCUUAGUGAAUGGCCACCAUAGAAUCAGAAGAGAAUUCCCAUGGGGAAUGUUAUUAGGGAAGAUUUGAUACAGAGGGAAAUCUACAUACCUGGAAAACAAAAUAUGUAAUUUAAAGACAAGUUAAACUAACUUUUUUCUUUCUUGGUUACAAUGACUGAUAAACAUUCUGUUCCAUUUUAUUGAUUCGGUACAUAUGAUACACUACAAAUAUGUAUUGGUAAUGUCACAAUAGUAGCAGCUUCCUGGACCUCUGACACUUAAAAUAUAUCUAAUUAUUAAAAAUCAACUAACUAAUAAUUGGAGCAGUGAUUGACACAACCUCAACAGCUUCAAUGCAACUCGUGAGAUUUUCUUGACUUUGAGCACAAAUCAAUUGUUCAUGAGUUUCCUAAAUCCUCCAUUCCAGUGGUCAAGAUCAUAAAUAUUUGAGAGAACAGAUAGAUGAUAUUCCACUGAAGGUAGAAGCAGUGUGAUAACCACUCAAUAGAUACCUUGGGCAAUGGUAAAAUCCUCUUUAUGUGCUACAUUCAAAAAUAUUUCUUAUUGUAGGAUUUCUCUAGGAGCUCCUUUAGGAAAUUAUAUUGCCAGAGUAUAUUUCAUUUAAUUUUUUUUAUCAACUUGAGAGAAAUAGCAGAAAUAAUCUUUACUCAAAAACUUGAGUUAUUUUUGCUGCCAAAAGGGAAUGUAUGUUCACUUGAUAUUUUUAAGCACAAAUGAGAAAAAAAUAAGUAAGAGGAGUUAUUUCAGCUCAUUCGAGUACACCAAAGCCUUCUGUAGGGUGAGCAAAAAAUGGCAUUGGAAAAACACAUACACAAGGCAUUUUCUGACUAGAGCCGGCAAGUCAGGCUGAGUGCCAGCCACACCCUGCUCAUGUGCUGGACACCAGAACAGUGCGAUACAACAAAUGGUCAGGGUCCGGUGUUUAAAGACUUCAUCUCUGGGUUCAGGGUCUGCCAUCUCCCAGCUACCUGAGUAGGAGCAGGUGCCCGGUCUACUCUCCAUCAGUGACAUGUGCAGCAAUGACUCGAUCUAAGAGGAUUCCUCCAAAGACUACAUGAGUCUCACCUUUGCUCCAGCAAACACCGUGCUCUGGACAGGAGACACACAAUGCUUGCUGGGUAAUUACAAAACAAAAUUCUUCAGGGGGCCCAAAGAGGUAUUGAUCGUGCCAGAGCAAGAGCAGCAAAAGAGAAUUCAGUGAUCCCAGUGUGUCCCCAGGGCUUGAGCUCCAGAUGGGUCUGUUUUCAUAUUCCUCAGACUUCCCAGGCAAAGUCUCAUCUACCGGAGACGUUCUCCAACACAUUCUGUUCUUUCCCUAACUGCAAUUUCAGACCUCCCUGUGGCACAUCUUUCUUCUUUACACCACUCAGCUUUUUCAUGUGACUACUUAUGCACAAUUUCUCAGAAGUUCUAAAAGGAAAAGAGUCUGUAUGUCGCUCAAGACUGUAUCAUCCUAGUAUGGUACAUACAGCUUGUACACAAAUGGAUACUCAGUAAAUGUGUGUUGGAUAAAUUCACAAAUAAUUUUAAUCUAUGCCACAUAAUAAUUAAGAAUAUAGCAAGGAAAUGGCUGAGGAAUUCAGAUAUGUGUGAGG
rnacentral:lncRNA from 1 species